CGUCUGCUUCCUUUCCUCGGUCCGACCCGUCAGCAGACCGCUCAGCAUCAAACUCUGGGACUUUACUGGGAAACAGUCGAUCCCUGUUUUGUGCCGGUUCAGUCAGAGGGACUGCAGUUAUCAAUACGUGAUCCUUGUGGGCCGGCCUAGUCAAAGUCCAAGGCUGUUUUUUGGGGCCAGUCCUUCCUGGUUCGACCUGUUGGUCGACGACUCGGCAUCAAACUCCAAACAUCUCUGGCGGUUUUCUGGAAUCGGUAAGUUGUACAGUUAUUUACAGUUCUUUGCUUCUCCUUGUU